rnacentral:tRNA from 1 species
GGGGCCAUAGCUCAGCUGGGAGAGCGCCAGCUUUGCAAGCUGGAUGUCGUCGGUUCGAUCCCGACUGGCUCCA